ensembl:lncRNA
AGAAAUUAGUGGAAAAGCAGUCCUCAGCUGUACAAUUUUGCAGCCGUGUUAUGCACCUGGGAAAACUACCCUUCAUAUUAGAAUAUCUGUCACAUGCAGCUUGAAAGACACUGCAAGAGUAAAAGGGAUGGGAUCCUUAUUCCUCCUCUGCUGCCCUCUUAGUAAUCGCAAGGGAUCAACGUGUUCCAUGUGAUCAAAGAAAGGUGAAACUUCUGUGACAACAAGAUGAAAACAGGUUUGCACUGCAUCCUGUGGGAUAUUAGAAUGAGCUGCCAAGAAGCUAGAAGACAGGUCUUUCUAGACAAAAUAUCUAGACCAUGGAGCAUAUGGCAGCCUCCAAGGAAGACAACAUGUCUCAGUCUGCUGGAGAACUCUUCCCUUGCAGGCGACUUCUUUGGGAGAUGAAGGGAGAUGCCAGGGAUUUGGAUAACGUUCACUCAUCUCAGUCUUGGGGAAAAAUCUAGAUGGGCUGAUACGUGUUUGAGGACAUUGUGGAUGACCUCCAGGGGGACCGAACUCAUCAGAAAUCAGUUUUCCACGUAUCCGGACACACUUGUUCUUCAUCCAGAUGUCUUUCAUUACCAAGAUAAUUCUCUGAACAUGUGCAACAGUGCCUGGAAAUGCAACCUGAAAUUGGAAGAAAAUAUCAAGUUUUUAAAAGAUAUUUUUAUUUUAUUUUAUGAGUUUUUAAUGAACUGUACUGUGCUUGACAACAAAUGAAUACAGAGACUUUUAUCAGCUAUUUACCUAGCAUAUGUUUGCACAUUUAGCUUUCACAUUAGAGUCAUGCUUCCUAAUAGAUAGGUACAGAACUGUAACUGAACAGAAAUCCACUUUCAGGAUGUCCUUUUAAACACUCUCACUGUCCUUAGGUACACUGAACUUUUAAAGUAAAAUAAAAUAAAAAAGAUGAUCAGUAGCAGCACCAUCUCUAAGAUAGGAAUAGAGACUUUAAUAGCACUAAUUAUGUGCACGUAAACUGACAAAAUAUCCUGCUAAAUGAACGUGUAGGUGUCCACCUUAGAGUGUGAGCAGUUAAUUGCCUUCAUCACAGUUGGAGUAAUUGCACAGAUAUAUUUGUGUAUGGGUGUAAGGGUAUGUUUCACGCAUAAUAAUUGAAUCGACAUCUCUUACUUAUUUGCUUUCAGAGAUUUUGAUACACACUGCAGCACUGGGUAAGUCCUCUGCUGUAGCUCUUCCCCUCCUCUAUGUUAGAGCAUCCAUGCAGAAAUGUUUGAAAGAAUCAGUGUGGCCAUUGCUUGUCAGAGUCUCAAGUCUCAGAGUCUUGAGCUGUUAGCUAAGAACAUGCCAGAGCUGGAAACAUCUUCUUAAGACAGAAAUUUAACUAAGUUUAACUCAGUUGAUUUUCACCUAGAACAAAAAUGACUAUACCAGAGAUUCAAAAAGACAACCCUAACAGCCUUCAAAGUGAAACCAUUUGCUCUAACUGGAUAGACAAAAACUAACAAACAAAAACAAGCAAACAAAAAAAACAAAACAAAACCCUGCCAAUAUACUGCAUCUUGGUUUCAGAUUAAAUUCUUUGCAUUUGGUAAAAUAAAUCUAGCCUUUUUAAGUUAGAAAAUAUAUAUGUAUAUAAAUAUUUACAAAGGCUGCUCAGAAAGUAAUGCCUUCUAUUUUAUUAUGUUGGCCCAUGAAGUCAGAGGUGGAUGUUGGUGGGAAGGCAGUAGAGAUUGAACCUUCCUGCCAAUAUUCUGUUACUUCUUAUUGCCAUGCAACAGAUGACAGCAGAGGGGCAGUCUGACAAAAGGAUAUCUAACAUGGAAGUGUGUAUACAGUAAAGGUGUGUCACUGAAUUCCUCCAUGCGGAAGAACUGGCACCCACUGACAUUCAUCAAUGCUUGAGGAAUAUUUAUAGGGAACAAACAGUGGAUGUGAGCACACUGAUGCAGUGUGUGAUGCGUUUCAGCAGUGGUGACAUUGAUGGGAAAGGUAAGCCACAUUCCAGAUGACCAUGCACAACUGUCAGAACACCAAAUGAAGAGCAUCUCAAUCAGCUCACUUGCACUAAUUGGCAGAUUAUGAUCAAGGAACUGUAUAUAGAGCUCAAUAUCAGGUUCAAUGCAUUUGAAACAAUGGUGGUAAUGUUGGAAUAUUGCUAAGUUUGAGCUAGGAGGGUCCCACGAAUUCUCACACAAGGAACAGAAAGAACACUGUGUCCAAGUUUGUUAAGAUCUAUUGGACUAAUACGACGCUGAAGGUGACAGUCUCUUGCAUCACAUCAUUACUGGUGACAAGAUCCGAACUCAAAACAGCAGUCUCUGG